rnacentral:rRNA from 1 species
UACAGAGGUCCCAAGCGUUGCUCGGAAUCACUGGGCGUAAAGCGCACGUAGGCGGAUUGCUAAGUCAGGGGUGAAAUCCUGGAGCUCAACUCCAGAACUGCCCUUGAUACUGGCGGUCUCGAGUCCGGGAGAGGUGAGUGGAACUGCGAGUGUAGAGGUGAAAUUCGUAGAUAUUCGCAAGAACACCAGUGGCGAAGGCGGCUCACUGGCCCGGUACUGACGCUGAGGUGCGAAAGCGUGGGGAGCAAACAGG